UUUAUUUCUUUUAUUUUUUGUUUCUGACACGAAUGCUUGCUUCAUUUCAAUUGGUGAAUAAAACUUAAAUUAAGGGUCACAUUUUCGAAGUUAUAUGUAUCUGACUGUGAAAAUAUAUUUUCACAUGAUAGUCGAUGCAGGCAAAUAUCUGAGCUAUAUAGAUAUGCACAAAAGUGAGGAAUAUGUAUGCAGAUAUGAAAGCUACUUUGCCAAGUGUGCUUUGACAAGGGUUUUGGAAGGCUGAGAAAAAUCAGAAUGGAUUCAUGUCUUUCUUAGUGGGUUUUUCUCUCAGUCUGAAUGCUGAGGUCUUUCUUUCCUGGAGAUUAUUUUCAAUAGUUUACGUAAUUUAAAGUUUCACCUACCAGAGUUCAGAGGGUUCAGAGGGUUCAUCUGCAAGAACCUUUCCUCCUCCUCCCACCCAGGCUUUACCUCUUUUAACCCCAUAUGCAUCCCUUGGCUUUGUCUAACCUUUCUGGGCAUUGUUAUGUUCUCAGAUAUUUUCUGGGAGGAUUGUCUGCCACUUUGUUGCUGAUGAUUUUAGUUUUUCUUUUCUCCCAAGAUGCUGCUGUGUCAUCUUUCUUCAGUCUCGAUACAUUUUUCAAAGCAACUAAGUUUUG